rnacentral:rRNA from 1 species
CCUACGGGUGGCAGCAGUGAGGAAUAUUGGUCAAUGGACGCGAGCCUGAACCAGCCAAGUAGCGUGAAGGAUGACUGCCCUACGGGUUGUAAACUUCUUUUAUAUAGGAAUAAAAUGAGGCACGUAUGCCUUUUUGUAUGUACUUUAUGAAUAAGGAUCGGCUAACUCCGUGCCAGCAGCCGCGGUCAUACGGAGGAUCCGAGCGUUAUCCGGAUUUAUUGGGUUUAAAGGGAGCGUAGAUGGGUUGUUAAGUCAGUUGUGAAAGUUUGCGGCUCAACCGUAAAAUUGCAAUUGAUACUGGCAGCCUUGAGUACAGUUGAGGUAGGCGGAAUUCGUGGUGUAGCGGUGAAAUGCUUAGAUAUCACGAAGAACUCCGAUUGCGAAGGCAGCUUACUAAACUGCCACUGACACUGAUGCUCGAAAGUGUGGGUAUCAAACAGGAUUAGAUACCCCAGUAGUC